CCCAUCUUGCAAGAUGGCGGGUGAAAAGGCUGAGAAGCCAGAUACUAAGGAGAAAAAACCUGAAGCCAAGAAGGCUGAUGCUGGCAACAAGGCUAAAAAGGUGAAAAUGGUGAAGAAAAUUAAGAAGGGUAAGCCCCACUGCAGCCGAAACCCUGUCCUGGUCAGAGGAAUUGGCAGAUAUUCCCGAUCAGCCAUGUACUCCAAAAGGGCCCUGUACAAGAGAAAGCAUUCAGCAGCUAAAUCCAAGGUCGAAAAGAAAAAGAAAGUUCGGGUUCUUUCUACUGUCACAAAACCAGUUGGUGGCGACAAGAAUGGUGGUAUCUGAGUGGUCAAACUUCGCAAAAUGCCUAGGUAUUACCCUACUGAAGAUGUGCCUCAGAAACUGUUGAGUCACGGCAAGAAACCCUUCAGUAAGCACAUGAGGAAGCUGCGCGCCAGCGUCACUCCUGGGACCGGUCUGAUCAUCCUCAGGGGGCGCCACAGAGGCAAAAGGGUGGUUUUCCUGAAGCAGCUGGGCAGUGGCUUGCUUCUUGUGACUGGGCCUCUAUCCCUCAAUCUAGUUCCUCUGUGUAGAACACACCAGAAAUUUGUCAUUGCCACCUCCACCAAAAUCGAUAUCAGUGGUGUGAUAAUCCCAGAUCAUCUCACUGACACUUACUUCAAGAAGAAGCUGCAUAAGCCCAGACACCAGGAGGGUGGGAACUUCGACAGAGAGAGAGAAAUACGAGAUCACAGAGCAGCGCAAGGCUGAUCAGAAAGCUGUGGACUCACAAAUUCUGCGAAGAAUCAAAGCUGUCCCUCAGCUCCAGCGCUACCUCCGCUCUGUGUUUGCUCUCACAAAUGGAAUUUAUCCUCACAAAGUAGUAUUCUGAA